AACCCAGUCCAGCGAGUCAGCCUGCGUCUGAUUUGGGGUUUGGAGCUGGGAUUUGGGAUUAGGAUUGGGAUUGACAGGACCCAGUCCAGCGAGUCGGCCUAAAUCUGAUUUGGGAUGGGAUUUGG
rnacentral:lncRNA from 12 species